rnacentral:rRNA from 1 species
GUGAGGAAUAUUGCGCAAUGGAGGCAACUCUGACGCAGCCAUGCCGCGUGCAGGAAGAAGGCGCUACGCGUUGUAAACUGCUUUUAACCGGGAAGAAACCCCAGGACGUGUCCUGGGUUGACGGUACCGGAGGAAUAAGCACCGGCUAACUUCGUGCCAGCAGCCGCGGUAAUACGAAGGGUGCAAGCGUUAUCCGGAUUCAUUGGGUUUAAAGGGUGCGUAGGCGGAGCGUUAAGUCAGUGGUGAAAUCCUGCAGCUUAACUGUAGACUUGCCAUUGAUACUGGCGCGCUUGAGUGCGCUUGAAGUGGGCGGAAUGUGCCGUGUAGCGGUGAAAUGCUUAGAUAUGGCACAGAACACCAAUUGCGAAGGCAGCUCACUAAGGCGAUACUGACGCUGAGGCACGAAAGCGUGGGGAUCGAACAGGAUUAGAUACCCGAGUAGUCC